AUUGAACGCUGGCGGCAGGCCUAACACAUGCAAGUCGAACGGUAACAGGAAGACGCUUACUUCUUUGCUGACGAGUGGCGGACGGGUGAGUAAUGUCUGGGAAACUGCCUGAUGGAGGGGGAUAACUACUGGAAACGGUAGCUAAUACCGCAUAACGUCGCAAGACCAAAGAGGGGGACCUUCGGGCCUCUUGCCAUCGGAUGUGCCCAGAUGGGAUUAGCUUGUUGGUGGGGUAACGGCUCACCAAGGCGACGAUCCCUAGCUGGUCUGAGAGGAUGACCAGCCACACUGGAACUGAGACACGGUCCAGACUCCUACGGGAGGCAGCAGUGGGGAAUAUUGCACAAUGGGCGCAAGCCUGAUGCAGCCAUGCCGCGUGUAUGAAGAAGGCCUUCGGGUUGUAAAGUACUUUCAGCGGGGAGGAAGGGAGUAAAGUUAAUACCUUUGCUCAUUGACGUUACCCGCAGAAGAAGCACCGGCUAACUCCGUG
rnacentral:rRNA from 1 species